AUAUUGGGCAAUGGGCGCAAGCCUGACCCAGCAACGCCGCGUGAAGGAAGAAGGCUUUCGGGUUGUAAACUUCUUUUGUCAGGGAACAGUAGAAGAGGGUACCUGACGAAUAAGCCACGGCUAACUACGUGCCAGCAGCCGCGGUAAUACGUAGGUGGCAAGCGUUGUCCGGAUUUACUGGGUGUAAAGGGCGUGCAGCCGGGCUGGUAAGUCAGAUGUGAAAUCUGGAGGCUCAACCUCCAAACUGCAUUUGAAACUGCUGGUCUUGAGUACCGGAGAGGUUAUCGGAAUUCCUUGUGUAGCGGUGAAAUGCGUAGAUAUAAGGAAGAACACCAGUGGCGAAGGCGGAUAACUGGACGGCAACUGACAUUGAGGCUCGAAAGUGUGGGUAUCAAACAG
rnacentral:rRNA from 1 species